AUGAAGAGGAAGAGUCGAGGUUUACCGAAGCUGAGUGUACCGGCUGGGAGGAAGCAAGACGCGGCGGAAGGAGGUUGCAGACGUAGGGAAGUUGCAGAUGGAGGGAGCUGUGAACAGAGAGAGAUUGCAGACGGAGGGAGCUGCGGACAGAGAGAGAUUGCAGACGGAGGGAGCUAUGGAGUUGAGAGAGGAAGAAUAGUCAGGCAGUGGUGA